UAACACAUCGGAACGUAUCCUUAAGUGGGGGAUAGCCCGGCGAAAGCCGGAUUAAUACCGCAUAUUCUGUCCGCAGGAAAGCAGGGGACUUCGUAAGGGGCCUUGCGCUAGAGGAGCGGCCGAUGUCCGAUUAGCUAGUUGGUGAGGUAAAGGCUUACCAAGGCGACGAUCGGUAGCUGGUCUGAGAGGAUGAUCAGCCACACUGGGACUGAGACACGGCCCAG
rnacentral:rRNA from 1 species